CGCAGGUGGUUCCCUAAGCCCGGCGUGAAAGCCCCCGGCUCAACCGGGGAGGGUCGUCGGGGACUGGAGAACUUGAGGGCGGCAGGGGCUGGUGGAAUCCCCGGUGUAGUGGUGAAAUGCGUAGAGAUCGGGGGGAACACCCGUGGCGAAGGCGGCCAGCUGGGCCGACCCUGACACUGAGGCGCGAAGGCGUGGGGAGCGAACG
rnacentral:rRNA from 1 species